rnacentral:rRNA from 1 species
GACGAACGCUGGCGGCGUGCUUAACACAUGCAAGUCGAACGGUGAAGCGCUUGCCUUUUUGGUGGGUGUGGAUGAGUGGCGAACGGGUGAGUAACACGUGAGUAACCUGCCCUCUUCUUCUGGAUAACCUCAUGAAAGUGGGGCUAAUACGGGGUAUUCCGGGUCUGUCGCAUGGCGGGUUUGGGAAAGAUUGCGCCUUUGGGUGUUUUCGGUGGGGGAUGGGCUCGCGGCCUAUCAGCUUGUUGGUGGGGUGAUGGCCUACCAAGGCGGUGACGGGUAGCCGGCCUGAGAGGGUGGACGGCCACACUGGGACUGAGACACGGCCCAGACUCCUGCGGGAGGCAGCAGUAGGGAAUAUUGCACAAUGGGCGCAAGCCUGAUGCAGCGACGCCGCGUGAGGGAUGGAGGCCUUCGGGUUGUGAACCUCUUUCGCCAGUGAAGCAGGCCUGCUCCUGUGUGGGUGGGUUGACGGUAGCUGGAGAAGAAGCGCCGGCUAACUACGUG